UCUCCGUAGGUGAACCUGCGGAGGGAUCAUUACAGAGUUCGUGCCCUCACGGGUAGAUCUCCCACCCUAUGUUAUUAUACCUUUGUUGCUUUGGCGGGCCGCCCUCGGCUACCGGCCCCGGCUGGUACGCGCCCGCCAGAGGACCCCAAACUCUGAAUGUUAGUGUCGUCUGAGUACUAUACAAUAGUUAAAACUUUCAACAACGGAUCUCUUGGUUCUG
rnacentral:misc_RNA from 1 species